UACGUAGGGUCCGAGCGUUGUCCGGAGUUACUGGGCGUAAAGCGCGCGCAGGCGGCGGUGCUGGCCCGGCGUGAAAGCCCCCGGCUCAACCGGGGAGGGUCGUCGGGGACCGCACCGCUUGAGGGCGGUAGGGGCUGGUGGAAUGCUUGGUGUAGUGGUGAAAUGCGUAGAGAUCAGGCGGAACACCCGUGGCGAAGGCGGCCAGCUGGGCCGUCCCUGACGCUGAGGCGCGAAGGCGUGGGGAGCGAACGGG
rnacentral:rRNA from 1 species